rnacentral:tRNA from 1 species
GGCUCGGUAGCUCAGUCGGUAGAGCAAAGGACUGAAAAUCCUUGUGUCGGCGGUUCG